rnacentral:tRNA from 1 species
GCGCCCGUAGCUCAGCUGGAUAGAGUACUUGACUACGAAUCAAGGGGUCAGGGGUUCAAAUCCCUUCGGGCGCACCA